UUGUUUGACUAAAAAUGAAAAGAAGCUGUUUUAAAAAAUAAAAGUAUAAUAAAUGAAACCCAACGGUAAAAAACUUUUUUUUUUUUGUAACUUCCACAUGGCAGAUGACUUUUGGGGGUUUUGAUUUUGGGCUGGGGAUUUGUGAGUCUUUGAGCUUCCGGUGACAUCAUUUUUCCUUUUGGUUCAUUAGAUGAUUACAGCGAAGACAUGCCCAUUGAAGGCGAGGAUGAUCUAGAAGAUGAUGCAAACCGAAUAAUGAAAAUUGGUCCUCAUGAAUGUGAAUAAUGUUUUCUAUCAACCAAGUGGUUUAUUAGUGCAAAAAGAUUGAUGGCAAUAUCUUGCUAUGCUAUGAGGCUUUACUUAUUUGAGAAGUUGGCAACUUGGUUUAAUGGCCCACACUUUUCCAACUUUCAUCAGCAGAGGAGAGCACCUAUAAAAGUUGUGGGCUUUGUUGUGGUUUCUUUCUUUGUUUAUAAAAUAAUGUAUAAACAUCAAAUAUUAUAUCCAACCCGAAUCAGAUGCCUAAUUGCGUACCGUUAGUUUUCUUUUCCUCUCCAACUGCCUCCAAUUUCUAAUCCCUAAACUAACAGCUAAUUUCUAAAUCCCUAACUCUAACAAAAUAACUUUGCCUUCUCCAAUCCAACACCCACUGGCCACCACCAUCGUCGUUCACCAGUCAGGCUGUCACCACCGGUCCACCAUCAUCGUUCACCAGUCAGGUAGUCACCAUCGGUCCACCCGUCACCACCCGUCAAUCUAUUUCAAGGUUUUAUUCAGCGCAGCCGGCUAAUGGUAAAGUCUGCAUUCAGUUUCGAGUUGUUGAAGUAGGAAGUAGUUUUGAUGAAUUCUACUUUGUUUUUUUUUAUUAUAUAUAAUUAGGGUUUUGGAUAGUGAUUUUUCAAGUGGUUUUGUUGAAUUCUACCCCGAACGUUUUGUUUUUGUAUGUAUUGUAAUUAAUGUUUCGAUAGUGAUUCUUAAUAGUUGAUUUUAAAUAA